CAAAAGGGUGUUUGCUUUACGUUUAUAUGGCACGCCUAAUCGUAAUCCCUUAAUCAGGACUCGGUUGGGUGAGGUAUGGUUAUCAAGACAUACCUAGCACUAAAUUUUUUUUACCGGAAAGCUGUUGAAAGCUACUUGCGUCGACGCCUUC